CCUACGGGAGGCUGCAGUGGGGAAUAUUGGACAAUGGGGGGAACCCUGAUCCAGCCAUGCCGCGUGUGUGAAGAAGGCCCUCGGGUUGUAAAGCACUUUCAGUGAGGAAGAACGCCUGGUGGUUAAUACCCAUCAGGAAAGACAUCACUCACAGAAGAAGCACCGGCUAACUCCGUGCCAGCAGCCGCGGUAAUACGGAGGGUGCGAGCGUUAAUCGGAAUUACUGGGCGUAAAGCGCGCGUAGGUGGCUUGAUAAGCCGGUUGUGAAAGCCCCGGGCUCAACCUGGGAACGGCAUCCGGAACUGUCAAGCUAGAGUGCAGGAGAGGAAGGUAGAAUUCCCGGUGUAGCGGUGAAAUGCGUAGAGAUCGGGAGGAAUACCAGUGGCGAAGGCGGCCUUUUGGACUGACAAUGACACUGAGGUGCGAAAGCGUGGGUAGCAAACAGGAUUAGAUACCCGAGUAGUC
rnacentral:rRNA from 1 species